CCCCCCACUUGGAGGAAGCUCUGACCAUCGGUCAGCACCACGUGAUAAUGGGGAAAGGGAGAGGGUGCCAUGCAAUGGGAAGCAACGAGGAACCACGGAGAAUACAGGACUGUAGUAGGUAGCUUUAAACAAGGACGAGAUGCAUUCAGUUGAAGGCAAAGACACAAGGGAGCUGUGUACGCACUUCAUUAUGUCGCUGCAGUGCAGAGUCUUUAAGACAUUUGAUUCAGCCGCCGGCAAGGAAGAGGAGUCUGGAAGAUUCUGUGGCAUCUCUAUUCAGCGAGCGUCCCAGCUGCAGAGAAUCCCUGCCUAAGUCUUUCAUCCACUCCCCUGGGAUCUGUUGAGGGCCCAUCAGUACCAGGUGCGGCGGAAAAUCUGAGGCACCUUGGCUAGGAGCCCAUGGUGAAACCCGGCUUUGGCUCCUGUCUCCCCAUCCUCUAUGAGCAGUGGCAGCUACAGCUGCUGGAGUGGGAGCUGCAGCAGUGGGGCGUGGCCUGCAGGGCUGUUGGAGUCCAUCGCACACUGAUGGAAAGGAAGCGGAACCUUCACUCAAGUUGGCCAAGCACAGAAACCACCAAGCAGGAAAAAUGUGGGCGGGGCCGGGAGGAGAAGGUGGAGAGAGGUCUCAGGGUGUUGGGUUUUGAAACCUUCUGUCUUGACUGAGGCCCAGGCUCUCAGCACAGGGUCCCUGACACAUGGCUGAGGAAUUCCCAGUGGCCUUGGAUGACAUUUCAGUUCAUUUCUCUGA